UGGGAGGCAGGGUGGUGUCGCUUACCGCCUGGACCCGGAGCGCACCACCCCCUGAGCUGAAGAACUGGUCCACCAGCGCCUCGGCGCCCAGCGGGCAAGUGGCCAGAUGGUCUGGCCAAGUGAGCAGAGAUUUUGCUUUCCUGUCCUUUCUUCAUUGCAUACGUCCCCAAUACCAAGAGAAGUACUAUAUUUAGAGAAGCUUCUGCUUUUAAGUUCUAGAAAUUUAGACUCUGCCUCGGCCUCCACCACUGAUAUACUAUGAAAAUUAAAUGCAUCAUUUCAUGUAAAGGAUUUAGAACAGCACAUGG